rnacentral:lncRNA from 1 species
CAAACACUCUUUCUUGUAUGAUUCUAACAUCCAGCGAUCGCAUUCAUCAGUGACAGGCUAACAUAUAAUGUUGCAACUUGCAAGUCCCAAGAGAUAUGCUUUUCAUAUAUUGUAAAACUCUUUCAGAUGAUCAUAACAGUUCCCUCUCUUCGGUAUUCUAUGACAAUAUACAAAUCACUUUUCAAAUGCUUCGUCGGUCUUUUUCAGCUGAUCAUAAGCACAUACAAGCAUAAAUAGCAAAUAAAAAUUUUGCAUGCCGAAAAGACUCUAAUGAUCACAAUCCGAUCAGAACAAUGCAAAAGGGGCACUCACAUGUCACAGUUUUCC